GACCCUAUCAAACUUUACUUUAGUUUAACUGGGGCAGUUAAUUAAUAAAAAUUUUAAUAAAGAUUAAGUACUAAAUAGANNNCCCAACANUAGUUGAUUACANUGAACAAGUUACUGUAGGGAUAACAGCGUAAUAUAUAUCUAAAGUUCUUAUUUUGAUAUAAGUUUGCGACCUCGAUGUUGAAUUNAUAUUACUUUCAAGCGCAAGAGCCUGAAAAGUGGGUCUGUUCGACCCCUAAAUAUAUACAUGAUUUGAGUUCAAAUCGGUGUAAACCAGAUUGGUUUCUAUCUAUUNUUAUUUGUGUCUUAGUACGAAAGGACCUGAAACAAUAUUAUAUAAUNAUUUAUAUGGCAGAAAAAUGCUUUAGAUUUAGGAUCUAAUUAUAAUAGAUUAUUAUACUCUAUUUAACUUGCCUAAUCUCUGUUAUUAGAAUCCUUAUUGCAGUAGCUUUUUAUACCCUCCUAGAACGAAAAAUUCUAAGCUACAUCCA
rnacentral:rRNA from 1 species